rnacentral:rRNA from 1 species
UUGGAGGGCAAGUCUGGUGCCAGCAGCCGCGGUAAUUCCAGCUCCAAUAGCGUAUAUUAAAGUUGUUGCAGUUAAAAAGCUCGUAGUUGAAUUUCGGGAUCAAUAUUUCGGUCAUGCCGUUGGUAUGCACUGUUAUCAUUGAUUUCUCACCUUCUAAAGAACCGUAAUGCCAUUAAUUUGGUGUACGGGAAUUAGGACGUAGCC